rnacentral:rRNA from 1 species
UACGGAAGGCAGCAGGGGGGAAGUAUUGCACAAUGGGCGCAAGCCUGAUGCAGCCAUGCCGCGUGUAUGAAGAAGGCCUUCGGGUUGUAAAGUACUUUCAGUCGUGAGGAAGGUGUUAAGGUUAAUAACCUUAGCAAUUGACGUUAGCGACAGAAAAAGCACCGGCUAACUCCGUGCCAGCAGCCGCGGUAAUACGGAGGGUGCGAGCGUUAAUCGGAAUUACUGGGCGUAAAGGGCACGCAGGCGGUUAAUUAAGUUGGAUGUGAAAUCCCCGGGCUUAACCUGGGAAUGGCAUUCAAGACUGGUUAGCUAGAGUCUUGUAGAGGGGGUAGAAUUCCAUGUGUAGCGGUGAAAUGCGUAGAGAUGUGGAGGAUACCGGUGGCGAAGGCGGCCCCUGGACAAGACUGACGCUCAUGUGCGAAAGCGUGGGGAGCAAAC